rnacentral:rRNA from 1 species
CCAAAGCAUUCUCUGGUGUUGAAGGCCCUGCAAAGCAGCAUCGCGGUGGCGGAGCGUCGUUUGCGACGCCCAACACACAAAACAAGCGGUGAGUGCUUUGGGGUGGGGUGACUGCGUACCUUUUGUAUAAUGGGUCAGCGACUUAUAUUCUGUAGCAAGGUUAACCGAAUAGGGGAGCCGGAGGGAAACCGAGUCUUAAUUGGGCGUUAAGUUGCAGGGUAUAGACCCGAAACCCGGUGAUCUAGCCAUGGGCAGGUUGAAGGUUGGGUAACACUAACUGGAGGACCGAACCGACUAAUGUUGAAAAAUUAGCGGAUGACCUGUGGCUGGGGGUGAAAGGCCAAUCAAACCGGGAGAUAGCUGGUUCUCCCCGAAAGCUAUUUAGGUAGCGCCUCGUGAAUUCAUCUCCGGGGGUAGAGCACUGUUUCGGCUAGGGGGCCAUCCCGGCUUACCAACCCGAUGCAAACUGCGAAUACCGGAGAAUGUUAUCACGGGAGACACACGGCGGGUGCUAACGUCCGUCGUGAAGAGGGAAACAACCCAGACCGCCAGCUAAGGUCCCAAAGUCAUGGUUAAGUGGGAAACGAUGUGGGAAGGCCCAGACAGCCAGGAUGUUGGCUUAGAAGCAGCCAUCAUUUAAAGAAAGCGUAAUAGCUCACUGGUCGAGUCGGCCUGCGCGGAAGAUGUAACGGGGCUAAACCAU